rnacentral:rRNA from 1 species
AUUGAACGCUGGCGGCAGGCCUAACACAUGCAAGACGAACGAGUGGCGGACGGGUGAGUAAUGUCUGGGAAACUGCCUGAUGGAGGGGGAUAACUACUGGAAACGGUAGCUAAUACAGCAUACCAUCAGAUGUGCCCAGAUGGGAUUGGCUAGUUGGUGGGGUAACGGCUCACCAAGGCGACGAUCCCGAGUUGGUCUGAGAGGAUGACCAGCCACACUGGGACUGAGACACGGUCCAGACUCCUACGUGAGGCAGCAGUGGGGAAUGUUGCGCAAGGGGCGCAAGCCUGAUGCAGCCAUGCCGCGUGUAUGAAGAAGGCCUUCGGGUGGUAAAGUACUUUCAGCGGGGAGGCGUUACCCGGAGAAGAAGCACCGGCUAACUCCGUGCCAGCAGCCGCGGUAAUUC